AGAGUUUGAUCAUGGCUCAGAUUGAACGCUGGCGGAAUGCUUUACACAUGCAAGUCGAGCGGCAGCGCGGGGCAACCUGGCGGCGAGCGGCGAACGGGUGAGUAAUGCAUCGGAACGUGUCCAUGUCGUGGGGGAUAGCCCGGCGAAAGCCGGAUUAAUACCGCAUACGCCCGAGAGGGGAAAGUGGGGGACCGCAAGGCCUCACGCGAUUGGAUCGGCCGAUGUCCGAUUAGCUAGUUGGCGGGGUAAAGGCCCACCAAGGCGAUGAUCGGUAGCUGGUCUGAGAGGAUGAUCAGCCACACUGGGACUGAGACACGGCCCAGACUCCUACGGGAGGCAGCAGUGGGGAAUUUUGGACAAUGGGGGCAACCCUGAUCCAGCCAUUCCGCGUGAGUGAAGAAGGCCUUCGGGUUGUAAAGCUCUUUUGUCCGGAACGAAACGGGCGACGUGAAUAUCGUCGUCUACUGACGGUACCGGAAGAAUAAGCACCGGCUAACUACGUGCCAGCAGCCGCGGUAAUACGUAGGGUGCGAGCGUUAAUCGGAAUUACUGGGCGUAAAGCGUGCGCAGGCGGUUUUGUAAGCCGGAUGUGAAAUCCCCGGGCUUAACCUGGGAAUGGCAUUCGGGACUGCAAGGCUGGAGUGCGGCAGAGGAGACUGGAAUUCCUGGUGUAGCAGUGAAAUGCGUAGAUAUCAGGAGGAACACCGAUGGCGAAGGCAGGUCUCUGGGCUGACACUGACGCUCAUGCACGAAAGCGUGGGGAGCAAACAGGAUUAGAUACCCUAGUAGUCC
rnacentral:rRNA from 1 species